rnacentral:rRNA from 1 species
CAGCCCUAGACGAUGCGCGUUAGGUGUAUCGGUGACCACGAGUCACCGAGGUGCCGAAGGGAAACCGUGAAACGUGCCGCCCGGGAAGUACGGUCGCAAGGCUGAAACUUAAAGGAAUUGGCGGGGGGAGCACCACAACGGGUGGAGCCUGCGGUUUAAUUGGACUCAACGCCGGGAAGCUCACCGGGUAAGACAGCGGAAUGAUUGCCGGGCUGAAGACCCUGCAUGACCAGCGGAGAGGUGGUGCAUGGCGUGUGACUGU